rnacentral:lncRNA from 1 species
UAUCUGAGUCUUGUGUUUUCUGUCUGUUCUUUGUGUUGUGGUCUGAGCAGAGUUCACCCACAGAGCCAGGGGAAGUGUGGGAGCAGCGACUCAAUUGUCCUAGGCUGUCUUCGCACCUGCGGACCUCGUACACACUGCUACAGGAUGUGCAGAACGACUUGCGUCAACAUAAUAGUGCCUUUACACAGCCAAUCUAUGCCAACAAGACUCUGGAAUACAGCAACUGAUUUCCCCCGAAAAGGUGUCUACAGAGAAAAAGACGAGAUUCCUCACCGCAGAGUUUGCCAGCCUCAAUAUUUUUGAAGAUGUUUGUAACCCUUUGUGUCUUUGUAUGUGGAAAAACAAAUAAAUUAAUUUGAAGAUGCC